GAGUUUGAUCAUGGCUCAGAUUGAACGCUGGCGGCAGGCCUAACACAUGCAAGUCGGGCGGUAGAGAGAAGCUUGCUUCUCUUGAGAGGCGGCGGACGGGUGAGUAAUGCCUAGGAAUCUGCCUGGUAGUGGGGGAUAACGCUCGGAAACGGACGCUAAUACCGCAUACGUCCUACGGGAGAAAGCAGGGGACCUUCGGGCCUUGCGCUAUCAGAUGAGCCUAGGUCGGAUUAGCUAGUUGGUGAGGUAAUGGCUCACCAAGGCGACGAUCCGUAACUGGUCUGAGAGGAUGAUCAGUCACACUGGAACUGAGACACGGUCCAGACUCCUACGGGAGGCAGCAGUGGGGAAUAUUGGACAAUGGGCGAAAGCCUGAUCCAGCCAUGCCGCGUGUGUGAAGAAGGUCUUCGGAUUGUAAAGCACUUUAAGUUGGGAGGAAGGGCAGUAAAUUAAUACUUUGCUGUUUUGACGUUACCGACAGAAUAAGCACCGGCUAACUCUGUG
rnacentral:rRNA from 1 species